rnacentral:rRNA from 1 species
AUGAACGCUGGCGGCGUGCUUAACACAUGCAAGUCGAGCGAAGCACUUAGGAAAGAUUCUUCGGAUGAUUUCCUAUUUGACUGAGCGGCGGACGGGUGAGUAACGCGUGGGUAACCUGCCUCAUACAGGGGGAUAACAGUUAGAAAUGACUGCUAAUACCGCAUAAGACCACAGCACCGCAUGGUGCAGGGGUAAAAACUCCGGUGGUAUGAGAUGGACCCGCGUCUGAUUAGUUAGUUGGUGGGGUAACGGCCUACCAAGGCGACGAUCAGUAGCCGACCUGAGAGGGUGACCGGCCACAUUGGGACUGAGACACGGCCCAAACUCCUACGGGAGGCAGCAGUGGGGAAUAUUGCACAAUGGGGGAAACCCUGAUGCAGCGACGCCGCGUGAGCGAAGAAGUAUUUCGGUAUGUAAAGCUCUAUCAGCAGGGAAGAAAAUGACGGUACCUGACUAAGAAGCCCCGGCUAACUACGUGCCAGCAGCCGCGGUAAUACGUAGGGGGCAAGCGUUAUCCGGAUUUACUGGGUGUAAAGGGAGCGUAGACGGAGCAGCAAGUCUGAUGUGAAAACCCGGGGCUCAACCCCGGGACUGCAUUGGAAACUGUUGAUCUGGAGUGCCGGAGAGGUAAGCGGAAUUCCUAGUGUAGCGGUGAAAUGCGUAGAUAUUAGGAGGAACACCAGUGGCGAAGGCGGCUUACUGGACGGUAACUGACGUUGAGGCUCGAAAGCGUGGGGAGCAAACAGGAUUAGAUACCCUGGUAGUCCACGCCGUAAACGAUGAGUACUAAGUGUUGGGGGUCAAAGCUCAGUGCUGCAGUUAACGCAAUAAGUACUCCGCCUGAGUAGUACGUUCGCAAGAAUGAAACUCAAAGGAAUUGACGGGGGCCCGCACAAGCGGUGGAGCAUGUGGUUUAAUUCGAAGCAACGCGAAGAACCUUACCUGCUCUUGACAUCCCGGUGACGGCAGAGUAAUGUCUGCUUUUCUUCGGAACACCGGUGACAGGUGGUGCAUGGUUGUCGUCAGCUCGUGUCGUGAGAUGUUGGGUUAAGUCCCGCAACGAGCGCAACCCCUAUCUUCAGUAGCCAGCGGUAAGGCCGGGCACUCUGGAGAGACUGCCAGGGAUAACCUGGAGGAAGGUGGGGAUGACGUCAAAUCAUCAUGCCCCUUAUGAGCAGGGCUACACACGUGCUACAAUGGCGUAAACAAAGGGAAGCGAACCCGCGAGGGUGGGCAAAUCCCAAAAAUAACGUCUCAGUUCGGAUUGUAGUCUGCAACUCGACUACAUGAAGCUGGAAUCGCUAGUAAUCGCGAAUCAGAAUGUCGCGGUGAAUACGUUCCCGGGUCUUGUACACACCGCCCGUCACACCAUGGGAGUCAGUAACGCCCGAAGUCAGUGACCCAACCGUAAGGAGGGAGCUGCCGAAGGUGGGACCGAUAACUGGGGUG